rnacentral:misc_RNA from 1 species
CAAAAAUUGAUACUAUUACUACAUUAUUAGCUUUGUGGAAACCUCAUUUGUUAGAGAAAACAUGGGAAAAUCCCUUAGCAUGAAUCUCCUUUUUGUCCAUCCAAAAUUCAUCUAUUCCUCUAGAAUUGAUUCUUUCUUGUCAUCCCACUUUUUCAACCUACUCUGAGCUGCUUCCACCUCUUUAUUCCAAUCAGUUCGAGCGGUGAUCCAUAUUAAAAUGAUUGUUUGCAUCACUGUACCUCCCAGCAUUCCUGACCAUAUUCCCUUAGCGCCAAGUUUGAAGUAAAAGCCGAGAAGAGCACCCAAUGGAACUCCGACAAUGUAAUAGCAGCCUAUAUUGACAUAGGCCACGAAGGUUUGCCAUCCACAGCCAACGGCCACACCUGACAAGACGGGCUGAAUUCCGUUGAGAAUGAGAGAAAGCGCAAGCAAUGGACAAAGAUCCGAGACAGCUUCAGCCACGACUUCACCUUCAGUGAAGGCAUAACUGAUGAGAUUACGCAAUGCAAGAACGAUGACUGCAGCAAUCACUGAGAGAAUGAAAGACCAUGAGGUAACCACGACAACAGAAAACGCGGCUGAUUUGGGAUGCCUUGCUCCUAGUUCAUUGCUCACUCUCACACUUGCUGCUGCAUUGAAUCCAACUGAUAUCAUGAAGACCCAACCAGAAAUUGACAUGCAAAUAGAAAGAGCAUCCAAAGCCACUUCAGGAUUUUCAAGCAAGCCAGCAAGCAACACCACA